AUUGAACGCUGGCGGCAUGCCUUACACAUGCAAGUCGAACGGCAGCACGGGUGCUUGCACCUGGUGGCGAGUGGCGAACGGGUGAGUAAUACAUCGGAACGUACCUUAUCGUGGGGGAUAACGCAGCGAAAGCUGUGCUAAUACCGCAUACGCCCUGAGGGGGAAAGCGGGGGAUCGAAAGACCUCGCGCGAUUAGAGCGGCCGAUGCCUGAUUAGCUUGUUGGUGGGGUAAAAGCCCACCAAGGCGACGAUCAGUAGCUGGUCUGAGAGGACGACCAGCCACACUGGGACUGAGACACGGCCCAGACUCCUACGGGAGGCAGCAGUGGGGAAUUUUGGACAAUGGGGGCAACCCUGAUCCAGCAAUGCCGCGUGAGUGAAGAAGGCCUUCGGGUUGUAAAGCUCUUUUGUCUGGGAAGAAACACCGGCUCUAACACAGUCCGGGAAUGACGGUACCUGAAGAAUAAGCACCGGCUAACUACGUGCCAGCCGCCGCCGCCG
rnacentral:rRNA from 1 species